UACGUAGGGUCCGAGCGUUGUCCGGAAUUAUUGGGCGUAAAGGGCUCGUAGGCGGUCUGUCGCGUCGGGAGUGAAAACUUACAGCUUAACUGUGAACUUGCUUUCGAUACGGGCAGACUUGAGGCAUUCAGGGGAGAACGGAAUUCCUGGUGUAGCGGUGAAAUGCGCAGAUAUCAGGAGGAACACCGGUGGCGAAGGCGGUUCUCUGGGAAUGUCCUGGCGCUGAGGAGCGAAAGUGUGGGGAGCGAACAGG
rnacentral:rRNA from 1 species